rnacentral:lncRNA from 1 species
CACCUGCCUUGAAGAUUCUCUUCGGCCGGGGCUGGAGGACCUGAGUUUAAGUUCCCUGAAUUCAACUGAGAACACGGGAAAAGAAGGAGUUGGUUCGUGUGAUUCUGAAGGAAUCUGUUCCAAGAUCUGCAGGGCAAGUUGGCUGAAAAGACGCCGGAGAGCCAAUGGUACCUUCCUGCUCUGAAGAAAGGCAUGCUCAAGGAGACACAGCCAAUGCUUUCGUCUGAAUCCAAAGGCAGGAGAAAGUUGAUAUCGUAGUACACGGAUGAUGUCAUGAGUCGUCUCACAUAGGGAG